GACAGAGGUGGCUAGCGUUGUUCGGUAUCACUGGGCUUAAAGCGUGUGUAGGCGGAAACGUAAGCAUUUUGUGAAAUCCCUCGGCUUAACCGAGGCAUUGCUUGAUGAACUGCGUUUCUUGAGGCAGGUAGGGGUGCGAGGAACUCUUGGUGGAGCGGUGGAAUGCGUAGAUAUCAAGAGGAACGCCGGUGGUGAAGACGUUGCACUGGGCCUGUCCUGACGCUGAGACACGAAAGCGUGGGGAGCGAACGGG
rnacentral:rRNA from 2 species